UACGGGGGGAGCAAGCGUUGUUCGGAUUUACUGGGCGUAAAGGGCGCGUAGGCGGCCAGCACAAGUCAGUGGUGAAAUCUCCGAGCUUAACUCGGAAAGGUCAACUGAUACUGUGCGGCUAGAGUGCGGAAGGGGCAACUGGAAUUCUUGGUGUAGCGGUGAAAUGCGUAGAUAUCAAGAGGAACACCUGCGGCGAAGGCGGGUUGCUGGGCCGACACUGACGCUGAGGCGCGAAAGCCAGGGGAGCGAACGGG
rnacentral:rRNA from 1 species